AGCCACAGCCAUAUCACCCUGCAGCCAAAGACUGGUUUCUAACCUAACCAAGGCUGAGACUGUUUAGUACCUGGAUGGGAGACCACUGGAAUAACUAGGUUGCUGUUGGAA
rnacentral:rRNA from 1 species